rnacentral:misc_RNA from 1 species
UAUUGUCUGGCUUUUUUCUUUCUCAUCAUUUUCUUUCAUUUUCUAGGUGUUUCUUUCCUAAAAACCAAAACAACCAAAGUUAAAAAUCAACACAUUCUCUUUUUUUGAACAAAAUUAUGCGUUUCCGGCUGGUCUUCAUGCUCUAGCGACAGACAACUAUCCCGCUUGGUUGAAAAUAUGGAAAAAUGGCUCGAGAAGUUCUCAUACCUAGGUCAAUUCGCUCCACCUCUGUUUGUUUCCAAAGCUUGCUUCUUUUCGCUAAAACCAUUUCUUAUUCUUGAAUAAUAUUGUUCGAUUUCUGUUCUAUGGUAGUUUUGCUCACGUUUCGUUCCUAUUCGGUGUUUUACUGAUUAGGUUCUUUAGGAUAGUUUCAUUUUUUAGUGAGAAGUACAUUCAAGUUUCGAAAUUUUUGCUUUCUGUCCUACUAAGAAUGCUCUGCCUCUUGUUUGAGCAUGUAGGUGACAUGAAACUGUUAGAAUUCAUUUUAGUUUGGGUUUGAGAAAUUUGACACAAUCUUCAAGGAAAUCAAGAUUGCUGAGUCCAUUUGUUGUGGGUAAAGUUUUAGGAAUUUUCAUCCAUAAAGCCUUUGGAAAAAAAGCGAUUUUAGACAAGAAAAAUCCAUAUAUAACAUGGAAUGGCUUUUCUAGGUAAGGAAAGCUAUUCUUUUGAAAAUAAGGUAAGAUGCGCGCCACAGCCACAGGGACCAAUAUUCUUGCGCGUUCUUUGUUUCUUUCUUUAUGUUUCCUUCUUUUUUUUUUUUUUCCUUUCACUUUCUCGCUCUUUCUUAUCUAAAACCCAAACAAACAAAUUAAAAACCUUCACAUUCUCCUCAUUUUAAGAC